rnacentral:rRNA from 1 species
GACGAACGCUGGCGGCGUGCUUAACACAUGCAAGUCGAACGGAAAGGCGCUGCUUGCGGGGUACUCGAGUGGCGAACGGGUGAGUAAAACGUGGGUGAUCUGCCCUGCACUUCGGGUUAAGCCUGGGAAAAUGGGUCUAAUAACGGAUAGGAGCUAUUUUUAGGGUGAUGGUUGGAAAGUUUUUUCGGUGUAGGAUGAGCUUGCGGCCUAUCAGCUUGUUGGUGGGGUAAUGGCCUACCAAGGCGGCGACGGGUAGCCGGCCUGAGUGGGUGGCCGGCCACCUUGGACUGAGGUACGGCCCAGGCGCCGACGGGAGGCAGCAGGGGGGAAUAUUGCACAAGGGGCGCAAGGCUGAUGCAGCGACGCCGCGGGGGGGAUGACGGCCUUCGGGUUGUAAACUCCUUUCGCUAGGGACGAAGCUUUUUGUGACGGUACCUAGAUAAGAAGCACCGGCUAACUACGUG